GACGAACGCUGGCGGCGUGCUUAACACAUGCAAGUCGAACGGAAAGGCCCUGCUCUUGUGGGGGGCUCGAGUGGCGAACGGGUGAGUAAAACGAGAGUAAACUGACCUUGACCUUGGGAUAACUUCAGGAAACUGGGGCUAAUAUAGGAUAGGAGAUCCUGCUGCUUGGUGGGGGUUGGAAAGUUUCGGCGGUUGGGGAUGGUCUCGAGGCUUACCCGCGUGUUGGUCGGGUAGUGGGUUACCAAGGCUUCGACGGGUAGCCGGCCUGAGAGGGUGACCGGCCAGAUUGGGACUGAUACAGGGCCCAGACGCCUAGGGUAUGCAGCAGUGGGGAAUAGUGCGCUGUAGGCAGGAGGCUGGUGCGACGGCGCCGCGCGCGGUAUGACGGCCUUUGGGUUGUGAAGCACGUUCGCCUGGUACGUGGCGGGAUUGACGGUAGUUGGUAAAGAAGCACCGGCUAACUACGUG
rnacentral:rRNA from 1 species